UUUGGGUGUGUUGCCUCCUGUAAAGAACUGGAAGGAAUUUCCACUAACUGAGAUCUUCCAAAGUGCUAGACAGUGGACUAGAUUCUUUUGCUUAUAUGACUUCAUCAAAUAUUCACAUCCUUACCCUCCACCUGCAUGUAGUAGGUAUGAUUCUGUUUUACAGAUGAGGAAACUGAUAUGGUUUGGUUGUGCCUCCACCCAAAUCUCAUCUUGAAUUGUAGCUCCCAUAAUUCCCACAUGUUUCCCCACGUGUUUCUCCCAUAAUUCCCAUGUGUUCUGGUGAUAGUGAGUAAGUCUCAUGAGAGCUGAUGUUUUUAUAAAGGGUUUCCCCUUUCACUUGGCUCUUAUUCUCUCUUGCCAGCCGCCAUGUAAGACGUGCCUUUCACCUUCUGCCAUGUUUAUGAGGCCUCCUUAGCCACGUGGAACUCUGAGUCCAUUAAACUUAUUUUUCUUGAUAAAUUGCCCAGUCUUGGGUAUGUCUUGAUCAGCAGCAUGAAAAGCGACUAAUACAGAAACGAAGAUUGCUAGAAGUUACUCACCUGCCCAAUAUCAUAAAGCUUAUACACAGUAGAGCAAGGAAUUGAACCUAAAUCUAAACUCAGCUGUUUUUUCCAGUACAAUUGGAAUCUCAAUAUAAGCCUAAAUAAAAUAUAAUCCGAAAAUCAGCAAGGGUAGUUAGUGGAAAGACUAUGGAAAUAACAAGUGGGAAAUUAGGGUAUUGUUCCAUUCCAGUUUACCACCACCUAACUGGAAGAUCCAGGCAAGGACCACUCAACUUUCAGGGUAAUCAGGUUUUUAGCUGAAAAUAAAAAGGUGCAUAUUACCCACAAACCAUACAUCCAUAAUGACAGGGACCAUGUCUUUUUUCCCUGACCAUAGUGUCUCCAGCACCCACCAUAGUAUCUGGCCCCGGGUAGGCACUCCAUAAGUGAUGAACGGAUGCAUGGGAAUGCAUGUCAGACUCACCCACUAGCUUUUUUAAAAUGCACAUCCCAAAGCCAACCCCAUAAACCCUGGCAAGUACGGCCCAAUCCUAUACAUUUUUUUAAAAAAGAAGAAAACCUCUCUAGGCAGUUCUCAUUCAGACCCAUGGUAUGAAGUCGCAGCUCUAAAAUUCUAUUAUCCUAUUAAAUCAGCUGUAUAAAUAAUCUACUGCUAGGCUCAACAUAAAUUUAUUUAUUCAAUUUUACAUACUUCCCUCUUAAUUAGGACAAACAGGUAAUGCCUGCUAUAGAUUUUUUCAAAUCACUGAGAAUUUUCUCUCAUUUCUUUCUUUGUCUUCAGCUAAUGUGUCCCCUUUUGUUCCCUUUGACUGCUGUAUUCUUCUCCCAGUUGCUUUUAAGAGUCUGUUUUUUCAAUUGAACCAGUUAGAUUUGAGACCAUCAAAUCUAUAGGGAUAUGUGAUACCCAAAUAAAUUAGAAAUUAAAUUAUUUAAUUAGUUAAAUAACGCCUUAUUUUGACCAAAUUCUUGUGUGCUGGUUCCCAAGUGUUUUCUUUUGUCUUUUUCUAAAAUUCGAUGGGAAGGACUGAGAAGUUUGUCUUUUUCAACCCUCAGUAGUUAUUUCCUAUUUAAAAAAAAAAAAAAA
ensembl:lncRNA